rnacentral:tRNA from 1 species
GAGGCAUAGCUGAAAGGUGGAGAAAGCUUGCCCGCUGACUCUUAAUCAGCGGGUCGUAGGUUCGAGCCCUACAUCACCCACCA